GGGUGUUUUGCCAGUGAUCCCUGCAUACCUGAGGCCUUCUAAAGUAGGUAAAUACAGCUAAUUAUCAGCGUUGAUCUUGCAGAGAAGACACAAUCUAUACUUCUGCAAAACUAAACAAACACAUGCCCCAUUAAAAAUUGCAUGAUCACCAGCAGUAGUAGCUGCAAUUGUGAGUACUGAGAUCAGAUUCGCUCACAGUCAACUACUCUGGGAUCUUGGGAAUUUCCCAUGUUCCAGUUUGUGCCUUUUUCCUGUCUCUGGACAACAUUAAAGAAAUCUGGAUCCAUUCUCUUGAAACUCAUCCUUCAGGGAGAUGCUCCAGGCUCCUCCUCAUCUUUGUGGCCC